rnacentral:rRNA from 1 species
UACGUAGGGUGCGAGCGUUGUCCGGAAUUAUUGGGCGUAAAGAGCUCGUAGGCGGCUUGUCGCGUCGGAUGUGAAAGCCCGGGGCUUAACUCCGGGUCUGCAUUCGAUACGGGCAGGCUAGAGUUCGGCAGGGGAGAUCGGAAUUCCUGGUGUAGCGGUGAAAUGCGCAGAUAUCAGGAGGAACACCGGUGGCGAAGGCGGAUCUCUGGGCCGAUACUGACGCUGAGGAGCGAAAGCGUGGGGAGCGAACAGG